UAGAAAUUGCUUUAAAAUCGUAAAAGGGG
rnacentral:piRNA from 1 species